AGAGUUUGAUCCUGGCUCAGGAUGAACGCUAGCUACAGGCUUAACACAUGCAAGUCGAGGGGCAGCAUGGUCUUAGCUUGCUAAGGCCGAUGGCGACCGGCGCACGGGUGAGUAACACGUAUCCAACCUGCCGUCUACUCUUGGACAGCCUUCUGAAAGGAAGAUUAAUACAAGAUGGCAUCAUGAGUCCGCAUGUUCACAUGAUUAAAGGUAUUCCGGUAGACGAUGGGGAUGCGUUCCAUUAGAUAGUAGGCGGGGUAACGGCCCACCUAGUCUUCGAUGGAUAGGGGUUCUGAGAGGAAGGUCCCCCACAUUGGAACUGAGACACGGUCCAAACUCCUACGGGAGGCAGCAGUGAGGAAUAUUGGUCAAUGGGCGAGAGCCUGAACCAGCCAAGUAGCGUGAAGGAUGACUGCCCUAUGGGUUGUAAACUUCUUUUAUAAAGGAAUAAAGUCGGGUAUGGAUACCCGUUUGCAUGUACUUUAUGAAUAAGGAUCGGCUAACUCCGUGCCAGCAGCCGCGGUAAUACGGAGGAUCCGAGCGUUAUCCGGAUUUAUUGGGUUUAAAGGGAGCGUAGAUGGAUGUUUAAGUCAGUUGUGAAAGUUUGCGGCUCAACCGUAAAAUUGCAGUUGAUACUGGAUAUCUUGAGUGCAGUUGAGGCAGGCGGAAUUCGUGGUGUAGCGGUGAAAUGCUUAGAUAUCACGAAGAACUCCGAUUGCGAAGGCAGCCUGCUAAGCUGCAACUGACAUUGAGGCUCGAAAGUGUGGGUAUCAAACAGGAUUAGAUACCCUGGUAGUCCACACGGUAAACGAUGAAUACUCGCUGUUUGCGAUAUACGGCAAGCGGCCAAGCGAAAGCGUUAAGUAUUCCACCUGGGGAGUACGCCGGCAACGGUGAAACUCAAAGGAAUUGACGGGGGCCCGCACAAGCGGAGGAACAUGUGGUUUAAUUCGAUGAUACGCGAGGAACCUUACCCGGGCUUAAAUUGCAGAUGAAUUACGGUGAAAGCCGUAAGCCGCAAGGCAUCUGUGAAGGUGCUGCAUGGUUGUCGUCAGCUCGUGCCGUGAGGUGUCGGCUUAAGUGCCAUAACGAGCGCAACCCUUGUUGUCAGUUACUAACAGGUCAUGCUGAGGACUCUGACAAGACUGCCAUCGUAAGAUGUGAGGAAGGUGGGGAUGACGUCAAAUCAGCACGGCCCUUACGUCCGGGGCUACACACGUGUUACAAUGGGGGGUACAGAGGGCCGCUACCACGCGAGUGGAUGCCAAUCCCCAAAACCUCUCUCAGUUCGGACUGGAGUCUGCAACCCGACUCCACGAAGCUGGAUUCGCUAGUAAUCGCGCAUCAGCCACGGCGCGGUGAAUACGUUCCCGGGCCUUGCACACACCGCCCGUCAAG
rnacentral:rRNA from 1 species